GCUGUUUAACAGAAGAGACUGGGAAGAAUGGGGACAGUAGCAACUUCACCACCACCUGUUGUCUGAUGACGUGGGAGAAGGGCCAAGGAGUAAUUAGCAAGGCUGAUCUUAUGAUUGCUGUGGGGCAAAGACGUAAGUGACCCCUUCUGACAUGCUAUAUUUAAUGGAUUAUACAAGCGUCUGCCCUCCCUGGGGGAAAGAAGACAGAGGACUUAUUAUGCAGUGCGCAACCUGGGAAUACGUUCUGCUUUACUGUGCAAUCAUGCCUUCAUCCUUCAAGCAUCUGAGAAAAACAGAGUGAACAACAUGGCCGUGCUGACAGCUCCGUAUGAUCCAUAAAUAUGACCCCUCUACAUCUGACCAUGCCCUUGAAGAGCUCCUGUUGGAGCAAAGAGGAGUGCCCGAGAGAGGUCUAAUCAGCCUGUGACAAAUCAGCCUCUUCUCCAGCUUGUUUUUCAUUUGGAUAAUGCAAGCCUCCUCUCCUAAGUGAUAAAACAACCUCUGUGGAGUGGUCUUUACACAGCCAGAUUAAAUGUGAUCACCUUGCCAACAUACCCUGGAAGAUUGCCAUGAUUAACAGGCAAAAGAGAAUAAUGAUAAUCAUAUGCAGGAUAAUAGCCCAUACCAAAUGGCUGCAUGAUCUGUACAUAAAUCACAACCCAUUUCCCACCCUAAAGGACAUGGUUUUACCCUUUGGCUGGAUUUGCUUAAGAACAAUCAGAUUUUUUUUUACCUAUAUGUGACAUAGAUCUGAUUAUCUCAUAACCAAUGUCAAAUAAAAAAAUAAACACUCAAAAUAAAUCCUUUAAAAAAUGUUGGGGGGUUGUUUUAUUCUUUUUUCAGUGCAAAUUCAUUCCUUUUUUAUUCUGUGUGAUUAUACACCUUCAAAGUCAGCUAAGGGGCUGCAAACUGGAACACACACGGCAAGGUUGAGACCUCAUGAAUGUUACAGUGAGGUUAAUAACCCAGGGCAAAUAUUAGCUCAGCUUCAAACAACACAAUAAUGACUACAUGAGAGGAGCUGAGUCUGAGGGUGAAGCCUUGUAAAACCGCUUUAUGAAAACUUGUAUAUUAUGUGCAAUUUUUUAAAAGCGUGUAAACAUGUGUAAAAGCAU